CCUACGGGGGGCACCAGUGGGGAAUAUUGGACAAUGGGCGAAAGCCUGAUCCAGCAAUGCCGCGUGUGUGAAGAAGGUCUUCAGAUUGUAAAGCACUUUCGACGGGGACGAUGAUGACGGUACCCGUAGAAGAAGCCCCGGCUAACUUCGUGCCAGCAGCCGCGGUAAUACGAAGGGGGCUAGCGUGGCUCGGAAUGACUGGGCGUAAAGGGCACGUAGGCGGUUUAUGCAGUCAGAUGUGAAAUCCCCGGGCUUAACCUGGGAACUGCAUUUGAGACGCAUAGACUAGAGGUCGAGAGAGGGUUGUGGAAUUCCCAGUGUAGAGGUGAAAUUCGUAGAUAUUGGGAAGAACACCGGUGGCGAAGGCGGCAACCUGGCUCGAUACUGACGCUGAGGCGCGAAAGCGUGGGGGGCAAACAGGAUUAGAUACCCGAGUAGUC
rnacentral:rRNA from 1 species